UUCUACUACAUGCCAAACUUCUGAGCUGAUCUCCUUGAGCAUUCCAGCCAACCCUGUGGUUCUGGUAUCUAUCAUCAAAACACAACAAUCUGCAUUCUUGAAGCGUUGAAAGAGAACAACCUUUUUCUGUGUUGUACAGAACCAUCUCUCAAUAACAGACGGGUUGGAAAGGAAAUCCCAAGGCAGGUUCUGGGAGUUAAUGCUAUUCACCCUUACCGCAAGUACCAGAAAACUGCAUCCCAACGUUGUACUCUUCCCCAGGAGGCUGGUUUCAUAUGGUGGUUUAGAUGUAACUGUGCAGUGUCUAGCACCAUUUGAAAUCAGUGUUCUUGGAGAAAGAAUGACAGCAUUAAGAAUAGAAUGGACAAUUAUCUCACGGUAGUUGCAUCAUAGGGAAAUUAAUUACAAUUGAUAUAGGUAACAUAAAUAAUAUAAGAGUUUGUACAGACAUGGUUUUAAAUCAUUUAUACUGGGGCAAGCUAUAGAAAAAUGGCAUUAAAAUGUGUACAUUUCUAGAUUUUUUUCAUGGUAUGUAUUAGAUGCCUGAAACACCAAGCACAGGUUGAGGCAUGUUCUAGAUUUCCGGUGCACAUGACUUGGUAUUAAAAACCAAAGUGUGCAGCAAUUUCCUGUCAGCAAGAAAAACAAUUACAAUUUGGAAAAUCAAUGAUAUUUGCAGCCAAAUUAACAAUUUCGAUGUUCCUAAAUAAAGAUUUCUGAAUUUCUACCUGUAAUUGUUAUUGUUUUAUGAACUGUUGCUACUUCUCCAUUUCUUCCAUUAAACCCCUUUGGAGGAUGACUGGUUUCUUUUGGUGUUCAGAGUCCACAGUAUUUUCUAGCACCAUUUGAAAUCGGUUAUAAUGACUGGGGAUACAUUCAUCUGCUUCAAAUCAAAGUAGCAAUGAAGAGACGGAACAUUUCAGUGUACAGACUUUCUUGUCAAGAUCAGGAUGUUUUGUUUCCUGAAGGGAUAUGAUACAGAACAACAAAUGAUGUGCAGUAAACAAAAGGACUGUGAAAAGGUUCAAAUCGCUUGUAUUUAUCUGUACAGCAUUCCACAAGGGUGUAAAAUGAUCAGUAACACUUAAAAUAGAGUGUAAUAAAAGCUAGUCCCACAAAAAUACUCAAGGCUUUAGAACUGGCUCUGCUGUUUACAAAAGCUGUGGAUGACCCAUGUAUAGAUUAUAGCUGGACUUUUUCAGUGACCUUAAAGGUGUAACCAAAUCCGGUGGUAUUUCCAAGACAAAUGUGCAAUGGAAAAGUGGCUCACAGCCAAUUCAUGACAUCACUUAGCUCCCAUUCUGCAUAGAUUACAGUAUAUACCAUUACUUUCCUUUUGCUGGAUUUACAAAUAAAUGAAAACAAAUACUGUGAGUGCCUCCAUAGACCACUUCACCUGUGUGCAGCUGCCCUGAAAAAGGAAGAAUCCUGGAUGUAACUUCCAUCUGCCUCGCACCUGGAUGUAUUUACAAAGAAGACUGGUUACAUACAGUAAUUAGGAAAGCAUAACAUGUUAAACAAAACUAGAAAUAUCCAAAGACCUAAUAAGCAGGGCCCCAGAUUCCUGAAUCCACAUUUUUCUUUAAAUGUACAUGUUUUUACAUACGUUGAUGCAUCUGUUUGUUAAAUCAUGAAAUGUGUAGGGAGAAGACAUGAAGAACACAGAUCCAAUUACUAAGUGCUGCUUUAGUGAAAUAUAAAGCGACCUCAGAUUUAAAAUCAGAGAGAGCUUAAUGGGUGUAUAAACAACUUUGCAGUAAUGCAUUUCUGCAAGAUUCUUUUUUUAUCAAUAUCAGGAGGUUUUGUUUACAAAAUGAGCUCGCUUCCGACUUAUAAUUUGAGAGUUUCGUUUUGUUAAACCCUGUUCUGUUUUAAACAUGAAAUGUUUACAUGUUUUGUUCUCCAUUGCACUCUUCUUGCACCACAGAGUGCUAAGAUAUUUCUUACAUAUUUAAAGUGUUUGUAGCUAACAAAAUAAUUCAAUACAUUUUUCGCGGCAUGCGUAAUCAUUCAUGAUAUAGGUCUCAAAUGUUAGUUUGAAACACAUGAUGCCUGGAACUACACGAGGUGAAAUAAAUUGCAGUCUUGCACUUUCAUCUUCAUUUCACCUGGAGAGUGACAUUAUCCCCGUCCCUUCAGGGCAGCCUAUGCUGUCAGUAACCAACCAGCUACUUCCCAUCACAAUAGAAAUGCUUUGCAACCAGUAAGCUGCUUUGACCCCGAAGACACUGCUGAGAUGAAAUGACCCAGAAAGUGUAGCAGAUUUCCUGGAAGGGAAGGCAGGCAAACUGAGAACUUUCUUUUACCUGGUGUAGUACCCAACGUCAUGUUUACAAUGAAAAUACAUACUUGCAAUAUCAUGCUUCUUUCAAAUCUGCGUAUUUGAUUCCUACAUAGUCAAUGGAAUUGCAUGACAAGUAAGAUUUAUGAAAGUAUGUCAGUUAGCUACAAUCUACAAUUUCUACAAGCUACAAUUUCUAAAACGUACUACUGUUGCAGUGGAAGCAGGAGCACGCCUGACUCAGCUUUCAAGAAAUGGAGGAAACAUGUAACAUUACCUUUGUGGAAUAUAAACAACCUGUAAUAUCAACAGACACCAAGGCUUGCUUGAAGUUUUCUUCUUCAAUUGUUAAAUAUUGCAUACACCCUGCUUUAGUUUUUGCAGGUAAAAAAAUAAAAGAUGAUCUCAAUUUGUGUUACAAAUACAAAUCUUAUCACAAAUAUAUACUGUACAAAAAUAACUUCCCACCAGUGUCUUGUUGAUUUGCCUGACUGCUGCAAGAAAAACUAUCUUUUAGAAAUAGAUUUUUCCGGACCUUCUCAUAGUGGCUGCUUAUAGAGCUUAAUUAUUAAAGUUGUGCCUCUCCCUGUUUCUUAUCCUUGUUUCUUUUUUCAUGUAUUCAGUUGAUGUGUUCUGUAUUUCUCAAAAAAAAAAUGUUUGCAAAUCCAAUAUAACAUGUAUGGAACUAUA